UUGUAAAAUGUCGGCGGGCGGCGGACGGCUGAGUAACGCGUAGGAAUUUGCCCCAAAGUGAGGAAUAACUGCCCGAAAGGGUAGCUAAUGCCGCAUAUGGUCUUCGGAUUAAAGCCUUCGGGCGCUUUGGGAGAAGCCUGCGUUGGAUUAGGUAGUUGGUAGGGUAAUGGCCUACCAAGCCGACGAUCCAUAGCUGGUCUGAGAGGGUGAUCAGCCAGACUGGAACUGAGACACGGUCCAGACUCCUACGGGAGGCAGCAUG
rnacentral:rRNA from 1 species